rnacentral:misc_RNA from 1 species
UCCGGCUUAACGCCGGCAGUCUCCUUAGAGUCCCCGACAUAACUCGCUGGCAACUAAGAGCAGGGGUUGCGCUCGUUGCGGCACUUAAGCCAACACCUCACGGCACGAGCUGACGACAGCCAUGCAGCACCUGUGCUAGCUCCCCUUGCGGGGUCGUCCCUCUUUCAAGGUUCUACCACUUGCAUGUCAAGGCCAGGUAAGGUUCUUCGCGUUGCAUCGAAUUAAGCCACAUGCUCCACCGCUUGUGCGGGCCCCCGUCAAUUCCUUUGAGUUUCACUCCUGCGAGCGUACUCCCCAGGUGGGAUGCUUAACGCGUUAGCUUAGGCACUGCCCCAAAGAGCGGGGCAACACCGAGCAUCCAUCGUUUACGGCGUGGACUAC